AAGUACCUACCACGCCACCCGCUACCUGCAAUAAUCCAUCUGAAGAGGUCGCCGGGCAGCGGCUCGGCAGACAGACUGACCUGCGGGGAGGUGCGGUUUCCAGUGGCGCGGGACAGCCGGCUCCGAGAAGGAACUGGGACCUUUGCCUAGGGCAAGACGUCAACAGGAACCCGCAGGCCCGGCCUGGACACCUGCUGCCCUCACUGGAAGCUUUAACUCCCACUCGAGUCUCUUGGCGUCGUCAGUGCCAGGAGCGCUUGGAUUGGGAUGGGGACGAAGAAAGGUGCCUCGCUCGCCGAGCCCCGCUGCACUUGGGGAACUGGCAAAGUCGAGGUUUCCUCACAGCGUUGAGAUUGAGACUGGGGGUCGUGGUCUCAAAUAGUCAAGACCCCCUGCUGGGAGGAGCUAUCCUGCUCUUUGGAAGAAAUGGGCAUGCCAGAUGCCUGGAAGAUCAGAGGCUCACAUUCCAGCUGUAGGUGGCCCACCAGGUGUCAACAACUGUAGAGUUCCAUCAAGAGUCAUGAUUUUACAGUUACAAGUCAGAGGGGCCUUCACAGAUCCAUCAGGCUCAACACUGCCUCCUUAGUGAACCUGUGAACCACCCAAGAUGGCUGGUCAUCAGUGUCAUCCUCUUCCUUUUCCAGACAACUAUCUUUAAAAGAAAAAAAAAAAGAGUGUCUUUGAAUGUAUCCAUUUUAUCCCCAAAUAAUCUUGUUUAAUAAAUUCCUUAUUAGG
rnacentral:antisense_RNA from 1 species